rnacentral:rRNA from 1 species
UACAGAGGAGCCAAGCGUUGUCCGGAUUGACUGGGCGUAAAGCGCACGUAGGCGGAUAUUUAAGUCAGGGGUGAAAUCCCAGAGCUCAACUCUGGAACUGCCUUUGAUACUGGGUAUCUUGAGUAUGGAAGAGGUGAGUGGAAUUCCGAGUGUAGAGGUGAAAUUCGUAGAUAUUCGGAGGAACACCAGUGGCGAAGGCGGCUCACUGGUCCAUUACUGACGCUGAGGUGCGAAAGCGUGGGGAGCAAACAGG